rnacentral:tRNA from 1 species
GGCCUCGUAGCUCAGCUGGUAGAGCGUGUGGUGUGCAAAAAGCGUAGGCGGCGUCCAUGUGUGGAUUCGAAUCCCAUCGAGGCUA